rnacentral:rRNA from 1 species
UACGUAGGGCGCAAGCGUUUAUCCGGAAUUAUUGGGCGUAAAGAGCUCGUAGGCGGUUUGUCGCGUCUGCUGUGAAAGACCGGGGCUCAACUCCGGUUCUGCAGUGGGUACGGGCAGACUAGAGUGCAGUAGGGGGAGACUGGAAUUCCUGGUGUAGGCGGUGAAAUGCGCAGAUAUCAGGAGGAACACCGAUGGCGAAGGCAGGUCUCUGGGCUGUAACUGACGCUGAGGAGCGAAAGCAUGGGGAGCGAACAGG